UACAGAGGUCUCAAGCGUUGUUCGGAUUCAUUGGGCGUAAAGGGUGCGUAGGCGGCGCGGUAAGUCGGGUGUGAAAUCUUGGAGCUUAACUCCGAAACUGCAUUUGAUACUGCCGCGCUUGAGGACUGGAGAGGAGACUGGAAUUUACGGUGUAGCGGUGAAAUGCGUAGAUAUCGUAAGGAAGACCAGUGGCGAAGGCGGGUCUCUGGACAGUUCCUGACGCUGAGGCACGAAGGCCAGGGGAGCAAACGGG
rnacentral:rRNA from 1 species